rnacentral:rRNA from 1 species
GACGAACGCUGGCGGCGUGCUUAACACAUGCAAGUCGAACGGAAAGGCCCUGCUUUUGUGGGGUGCUCGAGUGGCGAACGGGUGAGUAACACGUGAGUAACCUGCCCUUGACUUUGGGAUAACUUCAGGAAACUGGGGCUAAUACCGGAUAGGAGCUCCUGCUGCAUUGUGGGGGUUGGAAAGUUUCGGCGGUUGGGGAUGGACUCGCGGCUUAUCAGCUUGCUGGUGGGGUAGUGGCUUACCAAGGCUUUGACGGGUAGCCGGCCUGAGAGGGUGACCGGCCACAUUGGGACUGAGAUACGGCCCAGACUCCUACGGGAGGCAGCAGUGGGGAAUAUUGCACAAUGGGCGGAAGCCUGAUGCAGCAACGCCGCGUGCGGGAUGACGGCCUUCGGGUUGUAAACCGCUUUCGCCUGUGACGAAGCGUGAGUGACGGUAAUGGGUAAAGAAGCACCGGCUAACUACGUG